rnacentral:rRNA from 1 species
GCUAAACGCGAAGAACCUUACCUGGUCUUGACAUAGUAAGAACUUUCCAGAGAUGGAUUGGUGCCUUCGGGAACUUACAUACAGGUGCUGCAUGGCUGUCGUCAGCUCGUGUCGUGAGAUGUUGGGUUAAGUCCCGACAACGAGCGCAACCCUUUCCUUAUUGCCAGCGGGUUAAGCCGGGAACUUUAAGGAUACUGCCAGUGACAAACUGGAGGAAGGCGGGGACGACGUCAAGUCAUCAUGGCCCUUACGACCAGAGCUACACACGUGCUACAAUGGUCGGUACAAAGGGUUGCUACCUCGCGAGAGGAUGCUAAUCUCAAAAAGCCGAUCGUAGUCCGGAUUGGAGUCUGCAACUCGAC